rnacentral:rRNA from 1 species
AGUGAACGCUGGCGGUAGGCCUAACACAUGCCAGUCGAACGGCAGCACAGUAAGAGCUUGCUCUUACGGGUGGCGAGUGGCGGACGGGUGAGGAAUACAUCGGAAUCUUCUUUUUCGUGGGGGAUAACGUAGGGAAACUUACGCUAAUACCGCAUACGACCUACGGGUGAAAGCAGGGGAUCUUCGGACCUUGCGCGAUUGAAUGAGCCGAUGUCGGAUUAGCUAGUUGGCGGGGUAAAGGCCCACCAAGGCGACGAUCCGUAGCUGGUCUGAGAGGAUGAUCAGCCACACUGGAACUGAGACACGGUCCAGACUCCUACGGGAGGCAGCAGUGGGGAAUAUUGGACAAUGGGCGCAAGCCUGAUCCAGCCAUACCGCGUGGGUGAAGAAGGCCUUCGGGUUGUAAAGCCCUUUUGUUGGGAAAGAAAAGCAGCAGGUUAAUACCCCGCUGUUCUGACGGUACCCAAAGAAUAAGCACCGGCUAACUUCGUG